GACCAAAAUUCAACUAAUUG
rnacentral:snRNA from 1 species